CCCUGGUAAACCCAUAGAUAUUUUUCAAAUAUGGUUCACAAUCUUAUCUAUGAUUGGAUAAAAAAACCAUAUAUGAUAUUAGAGUGUGGCUAGACUCUAGAAUAAUUUAAUAUAUAAAUAUAGAAUAUAUCUAGAGUAACAAAAUGUACAAAAAUAGUCAAAAUAUAAAAUAGUAAAUAUUAUAUAGUAAUUUACUAAAAAGUUUAGUUCUCAAGUUUGAGUAUCAAAAAAUUGAAAAAAAAUAUACAAGAUCCUUGUUUGAUGUUUGAAAACAAAUUCAAAAAAUUAAAAUAUCAUCGAACCAACUGUAAAGACCAACAGACAGAGGGGAGAAGAUGGACGGAUAGGUGGAAGAACCUUCUAUGAAAGGCUGCCAAUAUCUAAAAUUGUGAUCACAAUAUAAGUCAUCCUUGAUCCCUUAUUAAAGGGACAUUUAGAUUUACUUGGACAAUUGAGCGGAUCUUUUCCCAGACUCAAACCUUAAUUACGCUAUUAGUGAAUUGUGCAAUAAGCCUAUGCCACGUGCAACUCAAACCUUACGACAAUUUGAGCGGAUCUUUUUUGCCCUUUAGCCCUUACAAUAUUUUUUAUGAAGUGCAUGUAUAAGGAAAUUUCAGACAGAAACAGUUUAUAUUUAAUGUCCAUUCGGUGUUAUGAUUUCCAGUGAAUGCAUUCUGAAGUGCUGGAUAGAUAAGCAUAUUGGUUGAAAACAAGCUUGUUCAUGCGACGCCUAGGCGUCGCAUAUGCGACCAUGCGCUCCAGCGCAUGUAGGCGUUUGCCUUCAUGCGCUGGAGCGGGUUAGGCGGGUCCGGGUCGGAUCUGACCCAGACCCGCCUAACCUAAUAGGUCUGUUUUUUUUUUUUUUAAAUUUAAAUAUAAGGCCCAACCACCCAUUUAAAUAAGAGGUUGAGGGUUUUAAAAAACCCUAACCUCUUUUCUUUCUUGUUUCUUGCACCUUUCUAACCCUAAAUUCAUAGAAGUCAUAUAAUCUAUGUAUUUACAUUUUAAAUUUUAGAUUAAUAGGUCUAUUACUUUGUAUUAGUAAUUUCAGGUUUUAAAAUUUAUGUAUAUAUUUUUUUAAAUGUUUCUGAAUUUAGUAAUUUACCCAUAUUUUUUAGCAAAUGUAUAUAAGUUCAGGGUAAAUUUGCAAAAUUUACCCUAUUUUCAGGCGGCCGCCUAGGCGGCCAUGCGGUCAUGGCCAUCGCAUGACCGCAUGGUCGCCUAAAAAACCUUGGUUGAAAACCAUUAACAUUUUGGUAUUUGGAUUAGAAGAAUGAUAUAUAUUCAAAAGUAGAGAAA
rnacentral:lncRNA from 1 species